rnacentral:rRNA from 1 species
AUUGAACGCUGGCGGCAGGCUUAACACAUGCAAGUCGAGCGGAGAUGAGGUGCUUGCACCUUAUCUUAGCGGCGGACGGGUGAGUAAUGCUUCGGAAUCUGCCUAUUAGUGGGGGACAACAUUCCGAAAGGAAUGCUAAUACCGCAUACGUCCUACGGGAGAAAGCAGGGGAUCUUCGGACCUUGCGCUACUAGAUGAGCCUAAGUCGGAUUAGCUAGUUGGUGGGGUAAAGGCCUACCAAGGAGACGAUCUGUAGCGGGUCUGAGAGGAUGAUCCACCACACUGGGACUGAGACACGGCCCAGACUCCUACGGGAGGCAGCAGUGGGGAAUAUUGGACAAUGGGGGGAACCCUGAUCCAGCCAUGCCGCGUGUGUGAAGAAGGCCUUAUGGUUGUAAAGCACUUUAAGCGAGGAGGAGGCUACUGAGAAAAAUACUCUUGGAUAGUGGACGUUACUCGCUGAAUAAGCACCGGCUAACUCUGUGCCAGCCGCCGCGGUAA